CCCCGCGCAGCCGCACGGGCCGCCACGCCGCGCACGCCGUGCGGACCGCGCCCGAGCGGCCUGCGGGGCGGCCCUGCGGCCUGGCCCCCCGCGCUCCGGGGGCUCCGAGCGAGCGGCGACAGCCGCGGUAUGCAGGACGGCCCCGACUAGCGCGCCGAGCCCCGGGAGGCCUGGCGCGGAGGCGGGGGCGGGCGCGGCGGAGGCGGAGCCCGCUCGGGGCCCGCCCGCCCGCCGGGGGAGCCGCCGGCAGUGGCCGAGGAGGCGGCGCGGCGGACGGCGGCCCGAGAGUAGCGCCCGCGCUGCGGCCCGCGGGACCGCGCCGCGACCGCCCGGGCUCGGCCCGGAGGAGCGCCCGCCGCUGCCGCCGCCGCGCGCUUGGAGCGAGAGUGAAGCUCUUAGCCUGUUGCUCACCACAUCUCACCCUCGAGAUGCUCCUACUGUGGCAGAGAGGCAGAUGUUCAGAGAUAUGAACGUGAUUUCUGAUGAAACUGGAUUGGAAUAA
rnacentral:lncRNA from 1 species